rnacentral:rRNA from 1 species
UGGGGAAUUUUGGACAAUGGGCGAAAGCCUGAUCCAGCAAUGCCGCGUGCAGGAUGAAGGCCCUCGGGUUGUAAACUGCUUUUGUACGGAACGAAAAGCCUGGGGCUAAUACCCCCGGGUCAUGACGGUACCGUAAGAAUAAGCACCGGCUAACUACGUGCCAGCAGCCGCGGUAAUACGUAGGGUGCAAGCGUUAAUCGGAAUUACCGGGCGUAAAGCGUGCGCAGGCGGUUUUGUAAGAAAGUGGUGAAAUCCCCGGGCUCAACCUGGGAACUGCCAUUGUGACUGCAAAGCUAGAGUGAGGCAGAGGGGGAUGGAAUUCCGCGUGUAGCAGUGAAAUGCGUAGAUAUGCGGAGGAACACCGAUGGCGAAGGCAAUCCCCUGGGCCUGCACUGACGCUCAUGCACGAAAGCGUGGGGAGCAAACA